rnacentral:rRNA from 1 species
GACGAACGCUGGCGGCGUGCUUAACACAUGCAAGUCGAACGGGAUGAUCUUAAAGCUUGCUUUUAGAGAAUCUAGUGGCAAACGGGUGAGUAACACGCAGACAACCUGCCGACAGGAUGGGGACAACAUUCCGAAAGGAAUGCUAAUACCGAAUGAAGUCAGAGAAGGGCAUCCUUUUCUGAUGAAAGAUGGCCUCUUUUUAUGCUAUCACCUGUUGAUGGGUCUGCGUCUGAUUAGCUAGUUGGUGAGGUAACGGCUCACCAAGGCGACGAUCAGUAGCCGGUCUGAGAGGAUGAACGGCCACAUUGGGACUGAGACACGGCCCAGACUCCUACGGGAGGCAGCAGUGGGGAAUCUUCCGCAAUGGGCGCAAGCCUGACGGAGCAACGCCGCGUGAGUGAAGAAGGUCUUCGGAUCGUAAAGCUCUGUUGACGGGGACGAACGUGCGGAGUGCGAAUAGCGCU